rnacentral:lncRNA from 1 species
CCACCUUCAAAACCAUCUUCUAUCUCCUCCCUCUCAAGCAUUGUGCAGUUGUGGGGGUUGUAUUCCGCACUGAUUAAGGUUUGUUUUCCUGAUCUUGUCUUGAGAUGGGUUUUUCUUCUUUUCCUCACUGCUUAAAAAUUUUGAAAUUUGUCUGUCUAUGUUUUGUUUUUCUGUUUUGUUGGAUGUUGUCACUGAGGGAAACUUUAUCUGUUGUACAUUUAGUCAGACUGAUGUUUGUUUGUUCUUUUCUACAGGUGGUUCUUUGAGUUUGGCCUGUUUUUCCUGUGAGACAUUCUUGUGAAAUGGUACUUGUUCUUGAAUAUUUUUGCUCCUUUGUUUGUUAAACCUUUAGCAUGUUGUAGAAAUUCAAUCUUUGCUGUAAAAAUCCAAUCUUGAUUGCUAUUACAAAACUGAAAUUUUGGGGCAACUCAACGAUUCUUAGAUAACCGUUGACCUUAAAUAUUGCCAAUCUUGUGUUGUUUAUAGGACUGACUGCCCUUGAACUGUUGAUUUUGUGUUAUAUCAACACAAAAGAUCAAGAUGAGUGAAACUAAGCCAGAAACACCAGUAAAUCCACCUUCUAUUUCAA